UAUCGGAUUAAUUGUCUCCCGAUUUAUUCCCUGCAGUUGUCUGCAACAGCGAAGAACUAGCCAUGGCUCAUGUAUUUUGGAUCAAGAUUUUAUAUACCCUAGUACUCUCCAUACUCUUGAUUAGAAAUACGAAGAGCAACAACCUGAUGCGACACCAGCAGAUGCUCGAAGAAAUGGUGCAUGUCUGCACCGGGGAAGAUCUAUUACGAGUCAUUGCUAGAGCUUGUUCUAUUAGGAAAAGAAGUCAAGGACUAGAAAACCAGCCGUAUCCCCAUUCGAUUCCAUUUCAAGACGUUGCCAAAGUUUGCUGUAAAAUUCCGUGCCGCAUGUCCUUAUUCUUCCGA